rnacentral:tRNA from 1 species
CGGAUGUAACCAAGUGGAUCAAGGCAGU